rnacentral:rRNA from 1 species
GUGGGGGAUACCAGUUGGAAACGACUGUUAAUACCGCAUAAUAUCUGCGGAUUAAAGGUGGCCUUUGUGCUGCCGCAGAUGGAUGAGCCUGCGUUGGAUUAGCUAGUUGGUAGGGUAAGGGCCUACCAAGGCUACGAUCCAUAGCUGAUUUGAGAGGAUGAUCAGCCACAUUGGGACUGAGACACGGCCCAAACUCCUACGGGAGGCAGCAGUGGGGAAUAUUGGACAAUGGGGGAAACCCUGAUCCAGCAAUGCCAUGUGUGUGAAGAAGGCUCUAGGGUUGUAAAGCACUUUAGUUGGGGAGGAAAGCCUAUAAGUUAAUAGCUUGUAGGAAGGACGUUACCCAAAGAAUAAGGACCGGCUAACUCCGUGCCAGCAGCCGCGGUAAUACGGGGGGUCCGAGCGUUAAUCGGAAUUACUGGGCGUAAAGGGUCUGUAGGUGGUUUGUUAAGUCAGAUGUGAAAGCCCAGGGCUCAACCUUGGAACUGCAUUUGAUACUGGCAAACUAGAGUAUGGUAGAGGAAUGGGGAAUUUCUGGUGUAGCGGUGAAAUGCGUAGAGAUCAGAAGGAACACCAAUGGCGAAGGCAACAUUCUGGAUCAAUACUGACACUGAGGGACGAAAGCGUGGGGAUCAAACAGGAUUAGAUACCCUGGUAGUCCACGCUGUAAACGAUGAGUACUAGCUGUUGGAUUCGGUGUAAAGGAUCUAGUGGCGCAGCUAACGCGUUAAGUACUCCGCCUGGGGACUACGGCCGCAAGGCUAAAACUCAAAGGAAUUGACGGGGACCCGCACAAGCGGUGGAGCAUGUGGUUUAAUUCGAUGCAACGCGAAGAACCUUACCUGGUCUUGACAUCCUGCGAACUUUCUAGAGAUAGAUUGGUGCCUUCGGGAACGCAGUGACAGGUGCUGCACGGCUGUCGUCAGCUCGUGUUGUGAAAUGUUGGGUUAAGUCCCGCAACGAGCGCAACCCCUAUUGAUAGUUACCAUCAUUAAGUUGGGUACUCUAUUGAGACUGCCGCUGACAAGGCGGAGGAAGGUGGGGACGACGUCAAGUCAUCAUGGCCCUUACGACCAGGGCUACACACGUGCUACAAUGGGUAUUACAGAGGGCUGCGAAGGUGCGAGCUGGAGCGAAACUCAGAAAGGUACUCUUAGUCCGGAUUGCAGUCUGCAACUCGACUGCAUGAAGUCGGAAUCGCUAGUAAUCGCAGGUCAGAAUACUGCGGUGAAUACGUUCCCGGGUCUUGUACACACCGCCCGUCACACCAUGGGAGUGGGUUGCUCCAGAAGUAGAUAGUUUAACGAAUGGGCGUUUACCACGGAGUGAUUCAUGACUGGGGUGAAGUCGUAACAAGGUAGCCGUAGGGGAACCUGCGGCUGGAUCACCUCCUUA